rnacentral:rRNA from 1 species
GACGAACGCUGGCGGCGUGCUUAACACAUGCAAGUCGUACGGUAAGGCCCUUUCGGGGGUCCACGAGUGGCGAACGGGUGCGUAACACGUGAGUAACCUGCCCACAACUUUGGGAUAACGCUAGGUAACUGGUGCUAAUACUGGAUAUGUGCUCCUGCUGCAUGGUGGGGGUUGGAAAGCUCCGGCGGUUGUGGAUGGACUCGCGGCCUAUCAGCUUGUUGGUGGGGUAGUGGCCUACCAAGGCGGCGACGGGUAGCCGGCCUGAGAGGGUGACCGGCCACACUGGGACUGAGAGACGGCCCAGACUCCUACGGGAGGCAGCAGGGGGGAAUAUUGCACAAUGGGCGCCAGCCUGAUGCAGCAACGCCGCGUGCGGGAUGACGGCCUUCGGGUUGUAAACCGCUUUCAGCAGGGACGAAGCUUUUUGUGACGGUACCUGCAGAAGAAGCACCGGCUAACUACGUG